CCUACGGGCGGCAGCAGUAGGGAAUCUUCCACAAUGGGCGAAAGCCUGAUGGAGCAACGCCGCGUGGGUGAAGAAGGUCUUCGGAUCGUAAAACCCUGUUGUUAGAGAAGAAAGUGCGUGAGAGUAACUGUUCACGUUUCGACGGUAUCUAACCAGAAAGCCACGGCUAACUACGUGCCAGCAGCCGCGGUAAUACGUAGGUGGCAAGCGUUAUCCGGUUUUAUUGGGCGUAAAGGGAACGCAGGCGGUCUUUUAAGUCUGAUGUGAAAGGCUUCGGCUUAACCGGAGUAGUGCAUUGGAAACUGGGAGACUUGAGUGCAGAAGAGGAGAGUGGAACUCCAGGUGUAGCGGUGAAAUGCGUAGAUAUAUGGAGGAACACCAGUGGCGAAAGCGGGUCUCUGGUCUGUAACUGACGCUGAGGUUCGAAGGCGUGGGUAGCAAACGGGAUUAGAUACCCCAGUAGUC
rnacentral:rRNA from 1 species